rnacentral:rRNA from 1 species
AUGCACGCUGGCGGCGUGCCUAAUACCUGCCAGUCGAGCGAACAGACGAGGAGCUUGCUCCUCUGACGUUAGCGGCGGACGGGUGAGUAACACGUGGAUAACCUACCUAUAAGACUGGGAUAACUUCGGGAAACCGGAGCUAAUACCGGAUAAUAUAUUGAACCGCCUGGUUCAAUAGUGAAAGACGGUUUUGCUGUCACUUAUAGAUGGAUCCGCGCCGCAUUAGCUAGUUGGUAAGGUAACGGCUUACCAAGGCAACGAUGCGUAGCCGACCUGAGAGGGUGAUCGGCCACACUGGAACUGAGACACGGUCCAGACUCCUACGGGAGGCAGCAGUAGGGAAUCUUCCGCAAUGGGCGAAAGCUUGACGGAGCAACGCCGCGUGAGUGAUGAAGGUCUUCGGAUCGUAAAACUCUGUUAUUAGGGAAGAACAAAUGUGUAAGUAAAUAUGCACGUCUUGACGGUACCUAAUCAGAAAGCCACGGCUAACUACGUG